AUCCUACGGGACGCAGCAGUGGGGAAUAUUGCACAAUGGGGGAAACCCUGAUGCAGCGACGCCGCGUGAGUGAAGAAGUAUUUCGGUAUGUAAAGCUCUAUCAGCAGGGAAGAAAAUGACGGUACCUGACUAAGAAGCUCCGGCUAACUACGUGCCAGCAGCCGCGGUAAUACGUAUGGAGCAAGCGUUAUCCGGAUUUACUGGGUGUAAAGGGAGCGUAGACGGCAGCGCAAGUCUGGAGUGAAAUGCCGGGGCUCAACCCCGGAACUGCUCUGGAACCUGUGCGGCUAGAGUGCUGGCGAGGC
rnacentral:rRNA from 1 species